rnacentral:rRNA from 1 species
AUUGAACGCUGGCGGCAGGCCUAACACAUGCAAGUCGAGCGAGCGGCGGAUGGGUGUGUAUCGUAUGGGGACUGCCCGAUAGAGGGGGAUAACUACUGGCAACGGUAUCUAAUACCCCACACUACCGGAUAACCCACAUGGGAUUAGCUAGCAGGUGAGGUAAUGGCUCACCUAGGCGACGAUCCCUAGCUGGUCUGAGAGGAUGAUCAGCCACACUGGGACUGAGACACGGCCCAGACUCCUACGGAGGCAGCAGUGGGGAAUAUUGCACAAUGGGCGCAAGCCUGAUGAAGCCAUGCCGCGUGUAUGAAGAAGGCCCUAGGGUUGUAAAGUACUUUCAGUCGGGAGGCGUUACCGACAGAAGAAGCACCGGCUAACUCCGUGCCAGCAGCCGCGGUAAUAC